GACACGCCGCGUGAGCGAUGAAGGCUUUCGGGUCGUAAAGCUCUGUUGUUAGGGAAGAACAAGUACCGGAGUAACUGCCGGUACCUUGACGGUACCUAACCAGAAAGCCACGGCUAACUACGUGCCAGCAGCCGCGGUAAUACGUAGGUGGCAAGCGUUGUCCGGAAUUAUUGGGCGUAAAGCGCGCGCAGGCGGUCCUUUAAGUCUGAUGUGAAAGCCCACGGCUCAACCGUGGAGGGUCAUUGGAAACUGGGGGACUUGAGUACAGAAGAGGAAAGCGGAAUUCCACGUGUAGCGGUGAAAUGCGUAGAGAUGUGGAGGAACACCAGUGGCGAAGGCGGCUUUCUGGUCUGUAACUGACGCUGAGGCGCGAAAGCGUGGGGAGCAAACAGGAUUAGAUACCCUGGUAGUCCACGCCGUAAACGAUGAGUGCUAAGUGUUAGAGGGUUUCCGCCCUUUAGUGCUGCAGCUAACGCAUUAAGCACUCCGCCUGGGGAGUACGGCCGCAAGGCUGA
rnacentral:rRNA from 1 species